rnacentral:rRNA from 1 species
UGAGGAAUAUUGGUCAAUGGGGGCAACCCUGAACCAGCCAAGUCGCGUGAAGGAUGAAGGUCUUAUGGAUUGUAAACUUCUUUUAUACAGGAAUAAAUUGGGGGACGUGUCCCCUUUUGCAUGUACUGUAUGAAUAAGGAUCGGCUAACUCCGUGCCAGCAGCCGCGGUAAUACGGAGGAUCCGAGCGUUAUCCGGAUUUAUUGGGUUUAAAGGGUGCGCAGGCGGGAUGUUAAGUCGGCGGUGAAAUUUUGCAGCUCAACUGUAAAAGUGCCUUCGAUACUGGCUUCCUUGAGUGUAGAUGAAGUAGGCGGAAUUUGUGGUGUAGCGGUGAAAUGCUUAGAUAUCACGAGGAACUCCGAUUGCGCAGGCAGCUUACUAAACUACAACUGACGCUCAUGCACGAAGGCAUGGGGAUCAAACA